GCUGCUCCUGGAAUGUUUUCACCUUUGUCUUUCUAUCUAUAGAAGAUGCUGUCUGGGGUAGCAAUUACACGGAACAACGUCCGGAAGAUGCUGAGUGCGAUGCUGUCUGCACUGCAGUCACUGGGAAUGAAGAUUUCACCCCAGGAUCAUUUUAAGUCUGUGUUCCAGUGGCAUUCUUUGCUUUGUUGAUGAGAGAAUGCAGACGGAAAAGAAAGCAAGAAUCUCACACCUCCACCCUACUGCUCUGUUGGUCAUCAGGAUGGAAAAUGUCCACAGCCACCACCAGUCCUGGGGCCUCACUGCUGCAUUCAGCCACAGUCUAGAACAAUCACAUCACUUUGGGACAUGGAUAUGAUCACUCAGCGGGAGCAGCCAGGAAGGCGGAAUCAUGGAAGGCUGGUAGCAAUGCCUGCGUGCCAGGGGAGAAAUGUUGGGCAGCAGCUGCAGCCCCAUGCCUGCAGCUCAGCAGGGUCAGCCCGUGGGCCGAAGCCAGGGCUCCCAGGAGUGCUGUCUCAACCUGGGAGCACAGAAGAGCUGUGAAUGAUCUUGCUGUGCAUGAAACAGAAAGACAAUGUGGGCUUCUCCUCACCUCUGAACCCUGAAUGACCACUCCCUGUGCACCUCCGUCUGCAGCUGGAACUGCACAGAACACACCCACCCAAGCCUUCCCUCUGCGUCUGUGCAUGGCUGCUGGGGUCACCAGGCUGAAGCUCAGAGUCCCCCAAAUGCUCAGAAACUCCAUUCCUCAGAGCAGCAAGGGAGGCCAGGGGUUGUUAGAAGAACUGGUUACGCGUGCAGAGUGCUUCUGUACUGUUGGAAGGUCUCCAAAGACAUCUCAGGUGCUGGUGCUACUUUCUGGCACAUCCACUUGGAGCCUGCAGUUUCCCUUCCUUCCUGCAUUAUUUACCAUACAGUACUGAGCUGCGUAAAGGACAGUUGCAAGCUAUUUUCUGAAUCAACCUUCCCUUCUCUGCGCUCUGUUUCAUGUAAUAAUCUCUAUUUUGGGAGUGGCGCUUUGCAGCAAAUGGCUGUUUGGUUUGCUUUCUCCAGCCGCUCCACUAUAGGCACAGUGUUUGUUAAUGUGAAGUUGCUGACAAGGAUGGGGGGGUUGGAUUUUGUGUCCUCCUCGCUCUGCUGCCCUCCCUGGGGCACGGACACAGAGGCCCAGAGCGACAAGUGCAGUGCUGCUCCUGUUAUCAGAGCUGCAGGCACUGCUUUGUUGGCACACUGCUAGGAAUGGCAGGUCGUACUGACUUCACAGAGCAAGGUCCUGAUAAAGGUUUGGAUUCCCAAAUUAUUCUUAGACUGUGCAUCUUGGCAUUCCGAUAAAGGGGGAAAAAAAGGCAUGGAUUUUGGAAGGAGCUGUUGGAGAAUAGGGAAAAAUACAAAUAAAGCAUAUAUAUAUAAAUGCGCUAUGUGUAGAAGUAUAUAACUGGAGAAACAUUUUGCAUAAGAGAGACUACACAGUAUGCCACCCACAGUCAAAGGUUCUCAGCCACCCAACGCUCACGUGAGCUCGUUUCUAACAUAGCUGCCUGCUCUCAUCCCGAGAGCAUCAGGCUGGGAAGUGACUGCAUGUCCACACCGUGUGUUCAGAGCCGCAGCACUCGCAGCUUCAGCAGUUUUUGGCAAAGUUCAGUGCAGUUCUCAGCUUUGAAGCGUAAUUGCCUGACUGCAGCAGUGGCUCCUGUCUCCAAAGGCCAAAAGGAGAAAGAGAAAGGAGGGCGACGGGAGGACAGCUGAGGGCAGCACAUCUCAGACGUGCGUCGCAAUUACUUCUUUUUUGGAGGCCUAUUUCUGGUUACUACGGGAGAACCGGGCAGCUCAAAUAAGAAAACAAACAUAAAAUGAACGCACACGUUAGAAAGCACACGCGCCCCUGCACCAUGGCAAGCGAGAGCUGGGGGACCUGUGUAAUCAGAGCUGUAAUGAUUCCAUAAUUUCCCAUCCAAACAUAAUUAGUUGAGCUACGUUCUUUGACAGCUAGAGAUUUGCAAAAUUAGGGUCAAGCAGGUUCAUUUUUUUAAUUGCUCUCAUUUCCCACCUCUGUGUUGUUCCAUGUCGCUUUAUAGCCUCCUCCCGGGACAAAAUUCAUCCCUGGGGUAGCCCGGCUUCAAGAAAAAAAAAUAACCAACAAUGUGAAUUUGCUCCUCUGUACCUCAGAAGCUGGGAAACGUGGCAACAAACAGCUCUGUGCUGCGUGGCCCUGAAGGUCAAAGCGUGGCUCUGCUGCCUGCUUCCUACCCCACCAGGGGUACAGCAGGAACCCCAUCACAGCCACAUGAAGCAAGCAUUUCUAUAGGUAUUACAUUGUGAUACUGUACGAGUUUCAGGGGAUUCUUGUUUAAGGGAAAAGAGAAGAUAGGAAGUGUGAUAUUUUUCUUCCAGAUGUUCUGUGUCUUUGUUUGCACUCAGAAUCCUCGCACUGAUUGAUUGGGAUAUCUGAGUAAAGCCCAAGGUACUUUGUGAUCUGAUGUGUAAGUGUGAUGGGGGCAGUGGGGAUUAUAUUUGUGCAGCACACAAUGUUUUUUGGUAUAAAUUAUGUUACUAUUUACAUAAUCUAUAAAUACGCUAAUUU
ensembl:lncRNA